rnacentral:misc_RNA from 1 species
AACGCACAUUGCGCCCUUUGGUAUUCCGAAGGGCAUGCCUGUUCGAGCGUCAUUAUCACCCCUCAAGCCCCGUGCUUGGCGUUGGACGGCCGGUCGAGCGAUCGACCCCUCCGAAAGACAAUGACGGCGGCCUGUGGUUCCCCCGGUACACUGAGCUUUUCACGGAGCACGUAUCGGACAAGGGCGCCCGGGACCCGGUCUUCUCCUCUCACCAGGAAACUUCUAAGGUUGACCUCGGAUCAGGUAGGAAUACGCGCUGAACUUAA